rnacentral:rRNA from 1 species
CCCUUAGAUGUUCUGGGCUGCACGCGCGCGACAAUGACGUUUGCAACGAGAUUGCGAGGCCGUCAGGUCGAGCUGAUCUUGCAAGCUGCGUCGUGAUAGGGACAGUCGAUUGCAAUUAUUCGACUCGAACGAGGAAUUCCUUGUAAUCGCGCAUCAUCAGUGCGCGCUGAAUACGUCCCUGCCCUUUGUACACACCGCCCGUCGCUCCUACCGAUUGAGUGGUCCGGUGAAUGUUUUGGAUCGGCUUCAAGUUGGUUCGCGCCUCUUGCUUGCUGUGAAAUCAUGUAAACCUUAUUGCCUAGAGGAAGGAGAAGUCGUAACA